UGGCUUGAAAAACCUGUCGCUUGGGGCCAUAUGACGGAUGCCGGGUUCGCCCGGCUAUGGUGAUAAAUUGUGUCGCGUAAUAGACGCAGCGGACCCGGGGGCAGUACCCGGCGGUUCCACCACAUGCCUCGUUCCGGGUCACAAGGCUGGACGGGGUGUCUGACGGGGCCGAACUAGGAUCGACGUGUGUUCAAAGGCGAUAUUUUUACCCGGCCCGAGUAAGCCGUGAAACUGUUCAAAACUCAUAAGUGCCAACGAUAACGAAGCACUCGCCAUUGCAGCGUAACUGAGGGCCUCACGGCCUGACGUUACUCUAAAAUAGCGCGGUUGAACCCACCGGGCAACAGAAGGGAAUUCA
rnacentral:tmRNA from 1 species